rnacentral:rRNA from 1 species
GAUGUCGACUUGGAGGUUGUGCCCUUGAGGCGUGGCUUCCGGAGCUAACGCGUUAAGUCGACCGCCUGGGGAGUACGGCCGCAAGGUUAAAACUCAAAUGAAUUGACGGGGGCCCGCACAAGCGGUGGAGCAUGUGGUUUAAUUCGAUGCAACGCGAAGAACCUUACCUGGUCUUGACAUCCACAGAACUUUCCAGAGAUGGAUUGGUGCCUUCGGGAACUGUGAGACAGGUGCUGCAUGGCUGUCGUCAGCUCGUGUUGUGAAAUGUUGGGUUAAGUCCCGCAACGAGCGCAACCCUUAUCCUUUGUUGCCAGCGGUCCGGCCGGGAACUCAAAGGAGACUGCCAGUGAUAAACUGGAGGAAGGUGGGGAUGACGUCAAGUCAUCAUGGCCCUUACGACCAGGGCUACACACGUGCUACAAUGGCGCAUACAAAGAGAAGCGACCUCGCGAGAGCAAGCGGACCUCAUAAAGUGCGUCGUAGUCCGGAUUGGAGUCUGCAACUCGACUCCAUGAAGUCGGAAUCGCUAGUAAUCGUGGAUCAGAAUGCCACGGUGAAUACGUUCCCGGGCCUUGUACACACCGCCCGUCACACCAUGGGAGUGGGUUGCAAAAGAAGUAGGUAGCUUAACCUUCGGGAGGGCGCUUACCACUUUGUGAUUCAUGACUGGGGUGAAGUCGUAACAAGGUAACCGUAGGGGAACCUGCGGUUG